GGAGACAUGGCUCAUAUGGUAGAGUAUUUACCUAUCAAGUGAGAGGCCCUGGGUUCAAACCCUAGUACCAUCA
rnacentral:tRNA from 1 species